rnacentral:rRNA from 1 species
UGGGGGAUAUUGCACAAUGGGCGAAAGCCUGAUGCAGCGACGCCGCGUGGGGGAUGAAGGCCUUCGGGUUGUAAACUUCUUUUGCUCUGAACAAGGCGCACCAUGGGGUGUGUUGAGUGUAGGGGUUGAUUAGCGCCGGCUAACUACGUGCCAGCAGCCGCGGUAAUACGUAGGGCGCGAGCUUUGUCCGGAAUUAUUGGGCGUAAAGGGCUUGUAGGUGGCUGGUUGCGUCUGUCGUGAAAGCUCAUGGCUUAACUGUGGGUGUGCGGUGGGUACGGGCUGGCUUGAGUGCAGUAGGGGAGGCUGGAAUUCCUGGUGUAGCGGUGGAAUGCGCAGAUAUCAGGAGGAAUACCGGUGGCGAAGGCGGGUCUCUGGGCUGUUACUGACACUGAGGAGCGAAAGCAUGGGGAGCGAACAGG